AGAUUGAACGCUGGCGGUAGGCCUAACACAUGCAAGUCGAGCGCGAAAGUGCCUUCGGGUGCGAGUAGAGCGGCGGACGGGUGCGUAACGCGUAGGAAUCUGCCUGGUAGUGGGGGAUAACUCGGGGGAAACUCGAGCUAAUACCGCAUACGCCCCAUGGGGGAAAGCGGGGGGACCUUCGGGCCUCGCGCUAUCAGAUGAGCCUGCGUCGGAUUAGCUAGUUGGUAGGGUAAUGGCCUACCAAGGCGACGAUCCGUAGCUGGUCUGAGAGGAUGAUCAGCCACACUGGGACUGAGACACGGCCCAGACUCCUACGGAAGGCAGCAGUGGGGAAUAUUGGACAAUGGGGGCAACCCUGAUCCAGCCAUACCGCGUGUGUGAAGAAGGCCUUGGGUUGUAAAGCACUUCAGUGGGAGGAAAGUUGCCGGCGAAGUACCCGGCGACCGUGACGCUACCUGCAGAAGAAGCACCGCAAACUCCGCGCCAGCAGCCGCGUAA
rnacentral:rRNA from 1 species